rnacentral:rRNA from 1 species
UACGAAGGGGGCUAGCGUUGCUCGGAGUCACUGGGCGUAAAGCGCACGUAGGCGGCUUUCUAAGUCAGAGGUGAAAUCCUGGAGCUCAACUCCAGAACUGCCUUUGAUACUGGAGAGCUAGAGUCCGGAAGAGGUGAGUGGAAUUGCGAGUGUAGAGGUGAAAUUCGUAGAUAUUCGCAAGAACACCAGUGGCGAAGGAGGCUCACUGGUCCGGUACUGACGCUGAGGUGCGAAAGCGUGGGGAG